rnacentral:rRNA from 1 species
GGAGGUGGCAAGCGUUGCUCGGAAUCACUGGGCGUAAAGGGCGCGUAGGCGGGGAGGUAAGUCGGGUGUGAAAUCCCUCGGCCCAACCGAGGAACUGCGCCCGAGACUGCUUCUCUUGAGUCCCGGAGAGGAAGGUGGAAUUCCCGGUGUAGCGGUGAAAUGUGUAGAGAUCGGGAGGAACACCGGUGGCGAAGGCGGCCUUCUGGACGGUGACUGACGCUGAGGCGCGAAAGCGUGGGGAGCAAACGGGAUUAGAUACCCCGGUAGUCCACGCUGUAAACGAUGGGUGCUAGGUGUGGGGGGUAUCGACCCCUCCCGUGCCGAAGCUAACGCAUUAAGCACCCCGCCUGGGGAGUACGGCCGCAAGGUUGAA